CUUGGAAAAAUAAAUUCUGAAUACAGUAUUGAAUUUUGAAGCACUAACAACACCAUCAUAUGAAUUGGGGUUAGUCCACUUUCAAAGAUCAAUUUGUGGUCUUCACACAGUGCAUGUAUCUGACAAAAUUUCCUCCAUCCACAACCAAAUUUAACAGAAGCUUUUUUGGCCUUAUGAUAAAGAUCCUAAAAGAAAAUAAACACAUGUAUGAGAUUUAUGAAAUAAAAACAAAAAAACACCAUUAAAGAUUUUAUCAGCAAAAAAAAUAAACAAUAAAAACAACAAUGAGAACCAAGGAAGGAAAAGAUUUCACCUUGAUGCUGAAAAAAAGAUGGAUAUGAACGAAAAU
rnacentral:lncRNA from 1 species